CUCGUAGGCGGUUCAACAAGUCGGUCGUGAAAGCCCGGGGCUCAACCCCGGGACGCCGGUCGAAACUGUUGUGACUAGGGUCCGGUAGAGGUGAGUGGAAUUCUCGGUGUAGCGGUGGAAUGCGCAGAUAUCGAGAGGAACACCAGUAGCGAAGGCGGCUCACUGGGCCGGUACCGACGCUGAGGAGCGAAAGCAUGGGGAGCAAACAG
rnacentral:rRNA from 1 species